GAUGAACGCUGGCGGCGUGCCUAAUACAUGCAAGUCGAGCGAACAGACGAGGAGCUUGCUCCUCUGACGUUAGCGGCGGACGGGUGAGUAACACGUGGAUAACCUACCUAUAAGACUGGGAUAACUUCGGGAAACCGGAGCUAAUACCGGAUAAUAUAUUGAACCGCAUGGUUCAAUAGUGAAAGACGGUUUUGCUGUCACUUAUAGAUGGAUCCGCGCCGCAGUAGCUAGUUGGUAAGGUAACGGCUUACCAAGGCAACGAUGCGUAGCCGACCUGAGAGGGUGAUCGGCCACACUGGAACUGAGACACGGUCCAGACUCCUACGGGAGGCAGCAGUAGGGAAUCUUCCGCAAUGGGCGAAAGCCUGACGGAGCAACGCCGCGUGAGUGAUGAAGGUCUUCGGAACGUAAAACUCUGUUAUUAGGGAAGAACAAAUGUGUAAGUAACUAUGCACGUCUUGACGGUACCUAAUCAGAAAGCCACGGCUAACUACGUG
rnacentral:rRNA from 1 species